GAAAGACGCCCCGAUCCGGACGCUGGUGCAGCGCAUCCACCAGCUGCAGGCUGAGCGCGCGCAGGGCUUCCGCCGACUGGAGGAGUGGUUGGCGCCGGUGCAGGGCCUGAGAGCCUGGGGGCGCGGCCUCAGGGUCCCCACAUGCCGCAGAGGCCACCGCCAGUACCUGCGCAGCGGCCCUGACUACGACUUCGCGCGCUACCGGAGCACAGUGCACGGGGUGACCCAGGCCUUCGCCGCCGCCUCGCGGGAGGUGCUGGCGGUGGAAGCAGAGCUGGGCGGGCCUCGCAGGCAGCCGCUGCUCGCCGGCCACGUGCGCAGCCUGCAGGAGCUGGAGCAGACGCGGCUGGGCACGGUGGCCCUGCUGCAGUUGAUGGAGACGCCAGAGCUGGCGGGGCAGGAGGACGCUGUACGGAUGCAGCAGCUGAAAAUGAAGUGAGCGCUGCUGCCCAAGCCGCCUGGCUAUGCUCGAUUUGCACCAGGGUUGGCACGGUCAGGACGCUGCCAGCAGAGGAACCCUCUGCCAGUGCACAAUGGUGUUCUCACCUGGUGGCCCUCAGAUGUACACUUCCCCAGAGGGCACAGCCGUGAAACUUCACAUCAGUUUCGCUGUGCAUUGCUGGGACACUGCUGUAUACCUCGACACAUGCCAAUCCUGCACACGUGGCUGUCCGUGGAGCUUGGACAUGCCCCACUGAGCACAGACCUUCAGAUGCCUGUCCUCAGCCCCCAAGCACACACACUCAUGUACACACACAUUUGACAAAGUCACACUUCAUAACCUCCUAAUGGUACACACCCCACCAAGAUGGCCUUUUCUUUUCUUUUUUUUCUGAGAUGCAGUCUCACUCUGUCACCAGGCUGGAGUGCAGUGGCGCGAUCUCAGCUCACUGCAACCUCCGCCUCCCGGGUUCAAGUGAUUCCCCUGCCUCAGCCUCCUGAGUAGCUGGGACUACAGGCGCGUGCCACCACGCCCAGCUAAUUUUUUGUAUUUUAGUAGAGAUGGGUUUCACCAUGUUGGCCAGGAUGGUCUCGAUCUCCUGACCUCGUGAUCUGCCCACCUCAGCCUCCCAAAGUGCUGGGAUUACAGGCGUAAGCCAGCACGCCUGGUCCUUUAUUUUCUUUUCUUUUUUCUUUCUUUUUUUUGAGAUAGAGUCUUGCUCUGUCACCCAGGCUGGAGUGCAGUGGUGCGGUCUUGGCUUACCGUAACCUCUGCCUCCUAAGUAGCUUGGAUUACAGAUGCCCGCCACCAUGCCUGGCUAAUUCUUGUAUUUUUAGUAGAGACGGGGAUUCGCCAUGUUGGCCAGGCUUGUUUUGAACUCCUGACCUCAGGUGAUCUGCCUGCCUCAGCUUCCCAAAGUGCUGGAUUACAGGCGUGAGCCACCAUGCCCAGCCCAGAUGGCCUUUUCUCUCAGCCCACUGUGACCUAUGGGGCCACCCCUUCUCCCUAGCACCUAAGUGUUCCCUCUUGCUGCUAGUGCUGCCUGGAGGUUUGGCGGCGGGCAGGAGGGCCUGGGGCUCACCACAGCCACAGCCCUCUUGCAGCUUCGCGGCAGCAGCUAAUUCACCCCAUCUGGGUUUUAUUUAUAGUUCCCAUCCGCUCUUGUAGGGUAAUUAAAACCAUGGAGGCGAUCAGCGAGGUUCUCCAGGACCUUAGGUUUGAUGCGGAAUCUGCCGAGUGAUGGCGGCUCCCCAGGGAUGCGCCGAGGGAGAUGGGAAACGGGGCGGAUGGCGCCCAGCCCAGCCCUAACUGCCAGCUGGCUGGGGUUGCGCCCCACUGCGCUGCUGACCUUCCUGCAGUUCCAGACACCUCCCACAAUAAAGAGCUCCUCCUCUGU
rnacentral:lncRNA from 10 species